UUCCUUGAAUUUUCCGACGCCGGCGAUCGGAAUUGAUCGCCAGCCACCCUCCUCCAUGACCGGGGGAGUGAUUCCCGUCGGCCGCCGGCCUCCGCCGCGGCAGCCGUGGCCCGAACGACCGGUCAAGGCCGGAGAACCCCCACCGUCCCCUGUUCGGCCUGGAAGGAACCAAGGAAAAAGAAGAAGAAGAAGAAGAAGAAGAAGAAAAAGAAAAGAAAAAA
rnacentral:lncRNA from 1 species